CAGUAGCCGCGGGAAUACGUAGGUGGCAAGCGUUGUCCGGAAUUAUUGGGCGUAAAGGGCUCGCAGGCGGUUUCUUAAGUCUGAUGUGAAAGCCCCCGGCUCAACCGGGGAGGGUCAUUGGAAACUGGGAAACUUGAGUGCAGAAGAGGAGAGUGGAAUUCCGCGUGUAGCGGUGAAAUGCGUAGAGAUGUGGAGGAACACCAGUGGCGAAGGCGACUCUCUGGUCUGUAACUGACGCUGAGGAGCGAAAGCGUGGGGAGCGAACAGGAUUAGAUACCCCGGUAGUCCCUGUCUCUUAUAC
rnacentral:rRNA from 1 species